AUUCAAAUGAUGACAACCUGUCACUGAUUCCCAAAACUUAUGCUCUAUUUUUGAGAAAGUUUUAAAGGGAAACUACAAAGGAUGUUCGCAUAAGCGAGGCAUUUGUCUGAUGUUGAA
rfam:Musca domestica strain aabys unplaced genomic scaffold Scaffold20170, whole genome shotgun sequence.